rnacentral:rRNA from 1 species
GACGAACGCUGGCGGCGUGCCUAACACAUGCAAGUCGAACGGAACUUACCGAAUGAAGUUUUCGGAUGGAUUUUGAUAAGUUUAGUGGCGGACGGGUGAGUAACGCGUGAGUAACCUGCCUUCAAGAGGGGAAUAACGUUCUGAAAGAACGCUAAUACCGCAUAACAUACGGAUGUCGCAUGGCAACCGUAUCAAAGAUUUUAUCGCUUGAAGAUGGACUCGCGUCCGAUUAGAUAGUUGGUGAGGUAACGGCCCACCAAGUCGACGAUCAGUAGCCGGACUGAGAGGUUGAUCGGCCACAUUGGGACUGAGACACGGCCCAGACUCCUACGGGAGGCAGCAGUGGGGGAUAUUGCACAGUGGGCGAAAGCCUGAUGCAGCGACGCCGCGUGAGGGAAGACGGUUUCGGAUUGUAAACCUCUGUCUUCGGGGACGAAAUGACGGUACCCGAGGAGGAAGCCACGGCUAACUACGUGCCAGCAGCCGCAGU